rnacentral:rRNA from 1 species
GUGCUUAACACAUGCAAGUCGAGUGCGCGGUAGCAAUACUGGCGCACGGCGCACGGGUGCGUAACACGUGGGCAACCUGCCCUUCAAUGGGGGAUAACCCCGCGAAAGCGGGGCUAAUACCGCAUGAUAUUCCUGGGACUUCUGUUCUGGGACUCAAAGCCGAAAGGCGUUGAAGGAGGGGCCCGCGCCCGAUUAGCUUGUUGGCGAGGUAACGGCUCACCAAGGCAAUGAUCGGUAGCCGGUCUGAGAAGAUGGCCGGCCACACUGGAACUGAGACACGGUCCAG